rnacentral:rRNA from 1 species
GACGAACCGUGCGAACGUUGUUCGGAAUCACUGGGCUUAAAGGGCGCGUAGGCGGCUCCGCAAGUCGGGGGGUGAAAUCUUUCGGCUUAACCGGAAAAGUGCCUCUGAUACUGCGGAGCUCGAGGGAGGUAGGGGCGGACGGAACUCCGGUGGAGCGGUGAAAUGCGUUGAUAUCGGAAGGAACGCCGGUGGCGAAAGCGGUCCGCUGGCCCUCUACUGACGCUGAGGCGCGAAAGCCAGGGGAGCAAACGGG